GCUACAAUGUCAGUGUUCAUGGGAGUUAAAUAUAUUAUUGACUCAUGAUGUUUCAUCUUAUGAUCCAUUUAUUGAGACAGUGACCCCAUAGUUAAGUCAAGGAGCUGUGAAUACAUCCUGCCUACAAAAAAGAGAUCCUUGUAUUAGCUCCACUGCUCAGCUGGGUAAACUGAGGCUCCAAGAUGGAAGGGAAGAAAUGUGUCCACAGGAAGAAACAAUCAGAACCAAGACUUGAGCCCAGGGCGGAGUCACCACCAGGAAGAGCUGCACCUAAUAGGACAGACUACCUCCAGAUGAAGUCAGUUGUCCAGGAGAUGACAACCCCAGACAGAAGUCAUCGACACCGUCUGAGGGAAACUGAGGCUGAGUGAAGCAGGUUGCUAAAGCCUGGGCUCUUGGUCAUGGCGCCACUGGAGUUUGGGUUCCUUUGUUUGAA